rnacentral:rRNA from 1 species
UUGGAACCGGGAGAGGUAAGAGGUACUACAGGGGUAGGAGUGAAAUCUUGUAAUCCCUGUGGGACCACCUGUGGCGAAGGCGUCUUACCAGAACGGGUUCGACGGUGAGGACGAAGCUGGGGCACGAACCGGAUUAGAUACCCGGGUAGUCCCAGCCGUAAACGAUGCUCGCUAGGUGUCAGGCAUGGCGCGACCGUGUCUGGUGCCGCAGGGAAGCCGUGAAGCGAGCCACCUGGGAAGUACGGCCGCAAGGCUGAAACUUAAGGAAUUGGCGGGGAGCACAACAACGGGUGGAAGCCUGCGGUUUAAUUGGACUCAACGCCGGACAACUCACCGGGGGCGACAGCAAUAUGUAGGCCAAGCUGAAGACUUUGCCUGAAUCGCUGAGGGGUGGUGCAUGG